rnacentral:rRNA from 1 species
UGGGGAAUAUUGGGCAAUGGGCGCAAGCCUGACCCAGCCGCGCCGCGUGAAGGAAGAAGGCUUGCGGGCUGUAAACUUCUUUUAAGAGGGAAGAGCAGAAGACGGUACCUCUUGAAUAAGCCCCGGCUAACUACGUGCCAGCAGCCGCGGUAAUACGUAGGGAGCGAGCGUUGUCCGGAUUUACUGGGUGUAAAGGGCGUGCAGCCGGGAAGACAAGUCAGAUGUAAAAUCCCGCGGCUCAACCGCGGAACUGCAUUUGAAACUGUAUUUCUUGAGUACUGGAGAGGCAGACGGAAUUCCUAGUGUAGCGGUGAAAUGCGUAGAUAUUAGGAGGAACACCAGUGGCGAAGGCGGUCUGCUGGACAGCAACUGACGGUGAGGCGCGAAAGCGUGGGGAGCAAACAGG